ensembl:lncRNA
GAGCUGCUGACGGGCAGAAAUCACAACACUCUGUGACAACUGCUGAUGUAAAAAGGGCUUUAUAAAAUACAUUUGAUUGAUUUGAUUGAUAAAAGACGACAUACUGACAAAACAAGAACAUUUUACAAAAUAACAGGCUUGCCCAAAAGAUAAGCAGUAACCCCCAAAAUCCCCCCUUAAUCCCGCACCUCCCACACCCCCCAUCUUCCCCCUCUCAGCUCUUUUUGGAGUAAUAGACGGAGGGGGGGGGGGACGUUUCUCUGGGCCAUAGAUCAGAGAAGCACAAUCCCCUUUGGGAAAGAAUUAAGACCAAAGAGCUGUGCUGCUUCAGCAGGACUGGCCAAUUAGGCUCCGGGCAGAGGAGGGCAGCCAUGUGUGUCCAUCCAGACGCACUGCUCCUACCUCCAGAUCCAUCCAGGGAGAGGGGAGAGGACGGUGGGAUGAGAGGGGCGACAAGAGGGAGAGAGCUGGUUCAAGGAGGGGGCUUGUUCUGCUGAAACCCCACAGUUAUAGGAGAGAUAUGGUUCUAGGCAAGUGUUCACUUUGUCUGGGGGUCAGACCAGAAUAUUAUCUAUUUAGCUUAUAGCAUAACGUUGAGUUGGUAUGUAUCAUAUCAAAUCCAGCCGGGAGGAUUUAGUUAUGAUAUCAUGUAGCGUUAUUAGUGUUUAAUACAAUUAUAGGAGAAUAUCCUCAAAAUGUGGUUUGUGUUUUGAAAAGUCUAUUUAAUAAGGCAUGUAAUGCCUCACCUUUUAAUGUUACAGAGGCAGCCGCUUGGUGUGGUGUUUACUAAUGGUGGUGGGAGGAGCACACUGAGGCGGUUUGAUUUUAGGAUUACCACUAAUUCCCCUCAUCAUUUUCAUCAUUCAGCCAACCGUACAACAUUGAACCCUUGGAAAAACUCUCAUUAAAAUUGAAAACCUUGAAAUCCCACAAAAAUGCCUUGCAUCUCUGGAUCUUCAAAGCCACCCAGAUCAUCUCAUCAUCUCUCCAUCAAUCAUUUUAAUACCUACUAAAACAAAACCUGGAUUAGGUCUCAUCCAUUCAGUUAAGACAACAACUAACGCUGAGUCAUACUCCACCAUAGAGAGAUUGUGAAACAUUAAUCGCAUAAUCCCUGUUGUGUUUGAUCCCCAUGCAGCCUGGGUCUAUUAAAAGAUUCCCAGAUAAGGGACGAGAAUGGAAGGGACAAUCAUUGGACAGAAUGGUAGAGAGACGACUCCAGCAGACUCCAUUAAAGGUAGUCAUGGUAGACUAAAGGGCAUUCAACAUAACUUGACGAUGAAGAUGGACGCCCUAGCCCCACUCUAAGGUAGGACAGUAGAGCCGCUGACUCCGUUCAGGGUAGAGUAAAUGGCCAUAAACCUAUCUUCAUUACUCAACAUGGGUACUCUUCUUCAGCCGGACCACUCUUUAAGUGAUGGCUAUGGUCCUUAAUGGAAAUGGUGGUGGUGGGCGGGGUUGAAUGCUAAAUGGCCUCGUCGGUAAUUCCCUGUACGGAUCAUAGCUUAAAGCCUUAUUAGGCCCUCAGUCAAUCCUUCCCUCCUGGAGAGGUAAUUAUCUCGGAGCAAUGUCGUCUUCGCUGUGUUUGAUACUCCUCUGGGAGCGUUGACCCCUGACCUCUGUUUCUGCAUCAGCUGUUUUAAACGACUUAAUGCGUCCGUCGCCCGAACGUCGGCUGAGACAGAUUACCGCGGCAACCGGAGCCAUGCAUCACGGCUGCUUCCCCGCGCCAAGGCCGCCGCCGCCACGGCGGAGGCAAAGGGGAAGUCGCUGCCGAGGGUAAUUGAAUACGGUUCAUACAACAUUAGUUUUAACUGUUGGUCAUUUGCUGAGUGCGGUGUUUUUUCUUCUCUUUAUUAAGACGGCCUCCCCUCCCCGAUUUGUUUACGUCUGCCUACCGAGUGGCUCCUCGGCCUCCUGCCAUAUAACGAGCCCCUAAUCUAGAUCUGUGGUGCAUUCUGAGCAUCGUUAUUGCUUUCUCUAAGGACAUUUACACGCAGGGUGUUUCCAGCUAAAGCCGUUUAGCGCGGCGCCACCGCUAACUGUCAUGGCUCUCUGAGCUUGUUGGGAGAAUCCCGUGUCUGUGUGUACAGAGCUGGAGCCUGAGACCGCUGGCGGGCAAAACGACGAGGUAGGCUUUCACUGAGACGGGAUCAGGUUGGCAUCGGGUGGCAUCAGGUUGGCAUCGGGUGGCAUCAGGUUGGCAUCGAUGAGAGGGUUUAUUGUUGCUCCCGUCUAAAUGUUUCCCUGUACGGUAACAUGCUCUAUACUUUAUUGAAACAUCACACUGGAGGCUGUUGAAAGGGAAGGCAUGUAUAUUGGUUCAGAAAUGUUGUGGAAUAGCACAGUUACAAAUAGAAAUCAAACUGGAUGGACAUCAGAAAUAGAGGAAGGACUAAAAACAAACUAAAUAUAACUAUUGUAAAAUAGAUUGUGUCUGUAAAAUGUGUAUAAUAUGUAUAAACUGAAGGUAGAAGCCUAAGUGUUAUUGUUUAUUAGUUUACUCUAAUUGGGGGAAGGGUGGUAGGGUAUGUGGGGAAUAAUAAAGGUAUAUUCUAAAAAAAGUAUGUACAUGUAUGUAUGUACUGUUUAUAUGUGUAUAUGUAUGAAUGUUUAUGUAUGCAUAUGUAUAUGUAUAUAUAUGGGUAUGUACGUGUAUGUAUAUGGAUAUAUAUAUAUUUACCCCAAAAAUAUAUGUGGGAUUGUAAAUGAUGCAGACAAUUACGUUGAUGGAAGCAACAAUCUUUCCACAAUAUUAAAGCUGAUCCACCCCUAAAAAAACAAACAAACAUAAAAAAUCAAAUAAAAAGUGAAGGCAUUUGACUGAGAAUGAGAACGCUUUGGUGAAGAACAGUUGUUCACCUUCUAUCAGCAGGUCAGUGACAAUGUUCAAGGCUCAUAUAGGCCCCAAAUUGCUUUUGGGAGUGAACCAAACCAACAAACAAGUUUUUGUUGGGGAUCAGAUAUGAGCAGUUUGUUCAUCUAUCAACCCAUCUGAAGAGGACGCUUCCACAGACAGAGAGCCCAGAGAGAGAAACAUAGUUGAUUCAUGGCAUCUUUUAUCUGGAUGCUAUCAUCCGUCGGGCGACAAAAGUGUUCACAAAAGACCCCAAUUUCUGACCUCGCUUUGUUGUCAGUUCACCUCUCUGCAUUGCUUGGCAAGAAAGACAGAGAGAAAAACAGAGAGAAAGACAGAGAGAAAGACAAAGAGUAAAGACAGAGAGUAAAGACAGAGAGUAAAGACAGAGAGGAAAGACAGAGAGUAAAGACAGAGAUAAAGACAGAGAGUAAAGACAGAGAGAAAAGACAGAGAGAAAGACAGAGAGUAAAGACAGAGAGGAAAGACAAAGAGUAAAGACAGAGAGAAAGACAGAGAGUAAAGACAGAGAGUAAAGACAGAGAGAAAGACAGAGAGUAAAGACAGAGAGUAAAGACAGAGAGUAAAGACAGAGAGUAAAGACAGACAGAAAGACAGAGAGAAAGACAGAGAAGAAAGACAGAGAGGAAAGACAAAGAGUAAAGACAGAGAGAAAGACAGAGAGUAAAGACAGAGAGUAAAGACAGAGAGGAAAGACAGAGAGGAAAGACAAAGAGUAAAGACAGAGAGUAAAGACAGAGAGUAAAGACAGACAGUAAAGACAGAGAGGAAAGACAGAGAGGAAAGACAAAGAGUAAAGACAGAGAGUAAAGACAGAGAGAAAGACAGAAAUACAGAGAGAAAGACAGAGAGUAAAGAAAGAGAAAGACAGAGAGAAAGACAGAGAGAAAAGACAGAGAGUAAAGACAGACAGAAAGACAGAGAGAAAAGACAGAGAGAAAAGACAGAGAGAAAGACAGAGAGUAAAGACAGAGAGUAAAGACAGAGAGUAAAGACAGAGAGUAAAGACAGACAGAAAGACAGAGAGAAAGACAGAGAGAAAGACAGAGAGAAAGACAGAGAGAAAGACAGAGAGUAAAGACAGAGAGUAAAGACAGACAGAAAGACAGAGAGACAGAAGAAAGACAGAAAG